CCAAGAAAUGCCGUGGAACCGCGCCGGCCCACGCCCCGCUGUACAGUUGUCGCGGCCGAGUAGUUUAAUCCACGGGGGAGGAGGGGAGGAGGGGGUCGACCCGGAUGGCCGUGCCCUCGUCGGCUUCCUGCAGACCCAGCUCCGGGUUUGAGGCGCCCCUCCGCCUCCGCCGCCACCGCCGCGGCUCUUUCUGGUUGCGUCUGGGAGGAAUGGUUGUGGAGUUGGUGGAUUCUCCGCUGGGGUUUUAGGAGGUUUCCUUCCGGGCUCUCGGCCGGGGGAAGCGGGGCUCGGAGGUUCGUUCUGGCCUGCCGGGCGGACGGAUUGGGCCGCUGCUGAUUGGGUUGAAGUUUGGGGGAAAGCUGCCACUGUUCUUCUGACUUCAAAAGCGGAUGGCUUUCCCAGAUGAUGGAAAGAUGAAGGGCUGUCAGCCAAAGCUUUUUGGGACAAAAGAUAAG